CCACAGAGGGCCUGUGUCAAUUACAACUAGAGCACAGACCAUGUGACAAUUUUUUUUUCUGCUUUCAAAUAAACCCACUUCUAACACCAUGCUUCCACCUGGGUCACUUGCAGACUGAAAGCAGUGAUUAGUGUCCAUCCAUGAGUCUUGGAGAUCCUGUAGAGAAGCUCUGAUCCUCAUUUUACCUUAACAGUUUUUUUAAAGUAAUAAAUAUCCUGGCUUCACAAAAUUACAUUUCAGAUUUUGCUGGGUUUAAUUUUGCUGUAUAUCAGCCAGGCAUCAUGAAAAUUAAUGACAGAAGUUCAUUGUGAUUCAUUCAACUGCCCUUGGUUUCAAAUUUUGCCACAAGGUCAGCAAAAAAUAUUGUCACCUGGUCUGUGCUCUGGUUGUUAUUGACACGGGCUGUCCUGGGGAACCACUUUGGCCUGUACCCUCUGAAAAGCAGUAGGAUUACAUUGAUAAGCCAAAUAAUGGAUCCCAAGCAGAGUCAAUGUACCAUUAUUGCGUUCUUGAGGACAGACAAGUACAGGAUGUUCAAUAUCAACAGAAGGCUGCAAGUUAUUUACAUCAUUGACAAACUCAGAUGGAUGUAGAAGUUUAAAGAAGUAGGAACUGACGUUGAAGAUUACCCACAUAAUAAAAGAAAUUAGCUGUGACUACUGACAUAGAUUGCCAGUGAGUGGACAAACUGAUUUGUGCAAACAGAUAAGUUACGAUCUAUGUUCUUGCUGUGUAACUGGACUGUGACCACAAUAUGUUACAGAAGAUGGUAGAAGACUAUGGGUAUCAAAACCCCUUGGCAGAUAAUACCUGAUCUGAGGGAAAAAAGAGGGUAAGUGCUGAGGCUAACGAAGUUACUUUUUCCCAAUCUGAGAGAAGAGGAUGAAACAUGGGUGUAGCUUUAUGAUGAAAGCUUAGUAUAUGGAAUGGUGUCACAGUCCUUCUCUAAGGUCUCCGAAGUUCAAGAGUAAUUAACACAAAAAAUAUUUUGGGGAAUGAUAAAGGCAUCAUUUUCCUUGAUUUUCUUGAAUGUGGCUACACUGUAUACAAAAAA